rnacentral:lncRNA from 1 species
ACACUUGCGACGAGUUGAAGCGGUUUAACUUGUUAACAAUUUAGGGAUGGAGAGGAGGGAUUGGAUGAGGCAACUGCUCCUUCAACUUCUCCAAUCACAAGAAGAAGAAGAAAAUCAAGUCUAAUCAUAAGCCCAACCCAAGAGCGGUGUAUCCUCACGGCAUCACCGUGUAUGGUGAAAGGACAAUGAGGUUGGUACAACAUUAGCAGGGAGAGG